GGCCGGGAGCAGUUCCAGCCAGACCCUGCAGCUCUCAGACUGGGGCGGCCCUCUCCCUUGCCCUCCUCUGCUCGGCUGUGAUUUCGCUGUGCUUCUGUGGGAGAAAAUGCUAUAAGUGACUCUAUGGACAUCCGUAAAAAUAAAUGCCAGCUACUAUGACUAUUCAGGUGUACAGGUUGCAUCAUCCUCCCCAGACAGGAAUGGGCUGAUGGCACUCUGCUCAGAAUAUCUCCUGGUUCCCUGUACAUGCAGGAUGAACACCCGCCCGAAAAGUCUUCCACAGCGCGGCCACUCCUCUCCCUCUUCCUUUCACCCUGAGGCCUGCUGCACUCCUCACCUGCUCCAGGAGAGCAGAGCCUGUGGUUUCCUGGCCCAAUGGACCUUCCCCAUCUCCAGACAUGCUUUACACAUCUCCAGCCCAGAGCCUUCGCA
rnacentral:lncRNA from 1 species